AGUGAACGCUGGCGGUAGGCCUAACACAUGCAAGUCGAACGGCAGCACCGUAAGAGCUUGCUCUUACGGGUGGCGAGUGGCGGACGGGUGAGGAAUACAUCGGAAUCUACUUUUUCGUGGGGGAUAACGUAGGGAAACUUACGCUAAUACCGCAUACGACCUCCGGGUGAAAGCAGGGGAUCUUCGGACCUUGCGCGAUUGAAUGAGCCGAUGUCGGAUUAGCUAGUUGGCGGGGUAAAGGCCCACCAAGGCGACGAUCCGUAGCUGGUCUGAGAGGAUGAUCAGCCACACUGGAACUGAGACACGGUCCAGACUCCUACGGGAGGCAGCAGUGGGGAAUAUUGGACAAUGGGCGCAAGCCUGAUCCAGCCAUACCGCGUGGGUGAAGAAGGCCUUCGGGUUGUAAAGCCCUUUUGUUGGGAAAGAAAAGCAGCAGGUUAAUACCCCGCUGUUCUGACGGUACCCAAAGAAUAAGCACCGGCUAACUUCGUG
rnacentral:rRNA from 1 species